GAGGAGCGGGCGCCAGCUGACUCAAGGUAAAAGGCAGACUAGACCCUGGACUGGUUGUCAGUCAAUUAAGGGAGACAACAAUACACUCCCACAUUCACACCGUUACUAGGUGGGAAGUGCACCAAUACUGCGCAAAUGUCAGAUGAGAACCGUUUACCCAUAAAGGAAGAAGAAAGUUAAGCCUGUAGGACGGCUCAGGACCAUGACGCUUUAAGACAACCAUGCAGAAGUGCAACAUGGGGGAACAGAGAACCUGGCUACCUGUAAAACAAUCUAACAGCUUUACUGCAGCCCAGUAAGAAGCAAAGAGACAGUGGGGGAGAUGCACUGAAAAAGUCAGUGGGACAAUGGAGCAGAAUGUUGAAAAUGCCAAGUGACGUGCAAAACGUGGAAAGACACAAAAUGAAUAGAGAUGAGAUGAGUACUGUGGAAAGGGUCUUUGGCCACCAUGAGAUGUGUUGUUUUUAGCAAUGCUAUAAUGACCAGAAUGUUACUCAGUAGAGUGCAGACCUCCACCAAGGCCGAAGUCGUUAAACAGGUUCUUAAAUUAUCUUUACAAAGGGUCCUCAGUUUAGGAUGGUCCCAAUGGUCAUGUUUCCAAAAGGCAUGUGAAGAACUUGUUAGCACCCGUUCCACUGUGCAAGCCCAUUCCUUAAAGGUAAGGAGUCAUACUUAUGUUACUCAUUUGAUUAUUUUAUAUUUAUAACCUAGAAGUGUAUUUCAUACAAAUAUUUACUAUAAUUAUUAGGGAUGUCCCGAUCCGACCGUUGAGGUGGGAAAUUGGUCCGAUGUCAGCAAAAAAAAAAAAGUAUUAUAUUGGACUGUAUCUAAAAUCUCCGAUUUUACCACUCUUAUACGAGCAGUCUUUUCCAUGCUCCACUCCAGCACUUUUUCCCAACACCGCCCGGACAGCAUGCAGAGCCCACAUGAUCACAACAACAGAUUCCUAAGGUGCUAACAUAGUAGCAAGGAGUAAGAGUGAAUGUUGCUUGCUUAAACUCGUUUAUUGACACGCCAGUUGAAAUUCAUUGUAAAACUAAACACACCCACAACAAAAGAAUUACACCUAUUGAAUGUUCAAAUACAUCACAGACUGUUUAUUUUUGUUUUUGUUCACAAAAUUUGCUAGCACAAAGCUAACACACGUUGAAUGAAAAACACCCUUGACAAGCUAACGGAAAUUAGUAUUGAACUUGCGGCACAUAUAUCGCUCUAAAAAAUAAAUAUUGUGACACAAAUGCUGUAUAAACACACACAAACGGACAAUAUUUCAUUAAUCUGAGGCAUAUAUUCUUCAAACUCUGUGAAAAAUGAGUUGUAUUAACAAUAUUCGAUCGUGUCUUCUACUUUCUUUGUUGCUGCGUGUAUCUCAUUGCAUGCGCCACACUGCCCCUCAGAGGUCAAGACCUGCACAGCAGGAACAGCGAGCCCAACAAUGAAGACACACACAGAGACCGGAGAACUUCCACUGCCCGAGGCCGGGGAACCCGUCCCAAACCCCGGAGAGCCACCAAGAGAACCCGGAGAUCCAGUGCAAAUCCCCGGGGAGAUGGUCCCUGGCGAUCCAGAGAGGGACCCUGGGGAGGAGAUCCCCGAGCCAGGAGAAGGGGUACCCGUAGAGCUGGGCAUAGAGCCAGCGCCCUCGGGUGGGGGACGGGAGCUUGACCGGGUGGUUUCCUCGUAAGCCUUUCGGUACCACGUGUCCGGGAAAAAGGAGGCUGAUUUGGUAGGGGAAGAGUCGGGCAUCUGUGGGACAUUUAACACAGGGGAGAGCUUGACUCAUAGGAGAGGAGGCAUUUACCCACUUAGAACGAGCACACGCGUGGAGAUCAUAACUUGUAUUAAAAAUGUAACAUUUUAAUGAAUGUUAAUA